GGAAUAUUGGUCAAUGGGUGAGAGCCUGAACCAGCCAUGCCGCGUGCAGGAAGACGGCCUUCUGGGUUGUAAACUGCUUUUACCAGGGGAUAAAAAGAGCCUGCGUGCUUAAUUGAAGGUACCUGGAGAAUAAGCACCGGCUACCAACGUGCCAGCAGCCGCGGUAAUACGUAGGGUGCCAGCGUUGUCCGGAUUUAUUGGGUUUAAAGGGUGCUUAGGCGGGCUAUUAAGUCAGUGGUGAAAUCCAGCAGCUUAACUGUUGAUGUGCCAUUGAUACUGGUAGCCUUGAGUACAGAUGAGGUAGGCGGAAUUGACAGUGUAGCGGUGAAAUGCAUAGAUAUUGUCAAGAACUCCGAUAGCGAAGGCAGCUUACUGGGCUGUAACUGACGCUGAUGCACGAAAGUGUGGGGAUCAAAC
rnacentral:rRNA from 1 species